AGCACUAGUGUGUGUUCUUGUUCAGCUAGUGGUGAAAGGCAGGUUAGACAGGUGCAAAAAUAAAUUCUCUUUUGCAACCCAGAACUCGUUGUUAUGUAUGAGUUUUGAUACAUACAAGAAAGAAUUCA
ensembl:snoRNA